rnacentral:rRNA from 1 species
UACGAAGGGGGCUAGCGUUGUUCGGAAUUACUGGGCGUAAAGCGUGCGCAGGCGGCUUCUCAAGUCAGGGGUGAAAGCCCAGAGCUCAACUCUGGAAUUGCCUUUGAGACUGAGUGGCUUGAGUACGAGAGAGGUGGGUGGAAUUCCCAGUGUAGAGGUGAAAUUCGUAGAUAUUGGGAAGAACACCGGUGGCGAAGGCGGCUCACUGGCUCGUAACUGACGCUCAUGCACGACAGCGUGGGGAGCAAACAGG